rnacentral:rRNA from 1 species
UUGAACGCUGGCGGCAUGCCUUACACAUGCAAGUCGAACGGUAGAGGGGCAACCCUUGAGAGUGGCGAACGGGUGAGUAAUAUAUCGGAACGUGCCCAGUCGUGGGGGAUAACGCAGCGAAAGCUGCGCUAAUACCGCAUACGAUCUAUGGAUGAAAGCGGGGGAUCGCAAGACCUCGCGCGAUUGGAGCGGCCGAUAUCAGAUUAGGUAGUUGGUGGGGUAAAAGGCCCACCAAGCCGACG